rnacentral:rRNA from 1 species
UACAGGGGGGGCAAGCGUUGUUCGGAAUUACUGGGCGUAAAGGGUCUGUAGGUGGCCAACUAAGUCAGACGUGAAAUCCCUCAGCUUAACUGGGGAACUGCGUCUGAUACUGGAUGGCUCGAGUGUGGGAGAGGGAUGCAGAAUUCCAGGUGUAGCGGUGAAAUGCGUAGAUAUCUGGAGGAAUACCGGUGGCGAAGGCGGCAUCCUGGACCGACAUUGACGCUGAGGAGCGAAAGCUAGGGGAGCAAACGGG